rnacentral:rRNA from 1 species
UACGUAGGGUGCGAGCGUUAAUCGGAAUUACUGGGCGUAAAGCGUGCGCAGGCGGUGAUGUAAGACAGGUGUGAAAUCCCCGGGCUUAACCUGGGAACUGCAUUUGUGACUGCAUCGCUGGAGUGCGGCAGAGGGGGAUGGAAUUCCGCGUGUAGCAGUGAAAUGCGUAGAUAUGCGGAGGAACACCGAUGGCGAAGGCAAUCCCCUGGGCCUGCACUGGCGCUCAUGCACGAAAGCGUGGGGAGCAAACAGG